ACAUUCAGUGGAAAUCUUGGCGAGUAUGUUUUGGGAAUAGGGAAAGAAUUUAUUUUUUCGUUAAAUGUUUGAUCUAAUCCUUUCUUUUGAAUCAUGAUCUCCGUUUAUGUAUUAUCCUUAUUCAUGUGGUUUUGGUCGGUAGGUUGUUGCUCCCCACAGUUGUGAAUGGUGAAUUUGGAUAUGCGAACCAAUUAAUGUAGUUUGUUCCCAAUGCAUUGUCUAGUAAUAUGUGCG
rnacentral:misc_RNA from 1 species